ACACAUAUUUAAGCAUAUUUGGUUCAGUAUUUGUUUCUUACUUAAACGUAAAAUUUAGAUCAAUUUUUUUUUGUAAUUUCCAAAAUAUUAGCGCUAAUCAUAUGCUUAUGGCGGUAGAAGGAAUUUUGGCAUUCUAAACCUACUUUGGUUGAGGCUGAGUUAUUCCUCACACAUUUAUCUAACUCUAUUCUUCUUACCUUCAAAAACCACCACUGUAAUUCAUGCAUGAAAUUUGACGAUCGGCUUCUCCCUCACACCGUCGUUGACAUCUGUUCCAAAGAGAAUAGAAGACGAAGAACCCAUCCUUACGGAGUUACGCUUUGCAUUCAAUUACUCUAGAUUCUACGCGUUUGACCUCGUCAUCAGUCUAACGCAAUUCACCGGUCCUUCAUCUUGUAGAAUUGCGCGUUUGAACUGAUGUACUUGGCAAAGAUACGCAUGGGUAUUUACGAGCUUAUGGACCAGGAAAAAGCAUUACAAAGCAUUUUCAAGUCAAGCCUUCUCGAAUUGAUCUACAUCAAGAGGUGGUUGAAGCUAAAAAGAUAGCUGAACAAGCAGUUCAAGAAGCAAGAAAUGACGCUGAGAAUGCUAGAAAAGAGGCCAAGGAUGCUAGAAAGGAAGCUGAAGAAACUAGGAAAGAUGCUGAGUUUGCCAAGAAUGAAGCCGAAAAAACCAGGAAUGAGGUAGAUCGAAAAAUUGCUGCAAACAAUAAGGUUUGGGAGAACAAGUUCAAGCGUAUACUACAAAGUUUUGGGAUAGAUAUGUUUCACGAUAAUGAUUCCUCGAGUGAUGGUUCUUCGACUUAAAAUUGGAGAAAGAGGGUACAUAUUAUCAAGCACAAGACACAUUCUUAGUUACAAUUAAAGUACUAUGUAGUUUAUAAUUUUUCUAUGUAAAAAGAAUGGAGAAUAUUGUGUUUUUAUUUAGUUGCCAUGGAACUUUUUAUUUCAAGUACAUUUUAAUGUAAAGAUAUUAGAAAUUUUAUAUUAAUAAUAAUAUUUCGUUAUUCCAUAUUAAAAA